rnacentral:rRNA from 1 species
UACGUAGGGUGCGAGCGUUGUCCGGAAUUAUUGGGCGUAAAGGGCUCGUAGGCGGUUUGUCACGUCGGGAGUGAAAACUCAGGGCUUAACCCUGAGCCUGCUUCCGAUACGGGCAGACUAGAGGUAUGCAGGGGAGAAUGGAAUUCCUGGUGUAGCGGUGAAAUGCGCAGAUAUCAGGAGGAACACCGGUGGCGAAGGCGGUCAACUGGCCCGAAACUGACGCUGAGGCACGAAAGCGUGGGUAGCGAACAGG